rnacentral:rRNA from 1 species
UACGUAGGGGGCAAGCGUUGUCCGGAAUCAUUGGGCGUAAGGAGCGUGUAGGCGGCCCGGUAAGUCCGCUGUGAAAGUCCAGGGCUCAACCCUGGGAUGCCGGUGGAUACUGUCGGGCUCGAGUCCGGAAGAGGAGUGUGGAAUUCCUAGUGUAGAGGUGAAAUUCGUAGAUAUUAGGAAGAACACCAGUGGCGAAGGCGGCUCACUGGCCCGGUGCUGACGCUGAGGCGCGAAAGCGUGGGGAGCAAACAGG